ACUCAAAUGAAUUGACGGGGAGUCGCACAAGCAGUGGAGCAUGUGGUUUAAUUCGACGCUACGCGAAGAACCUUACCGAGGCUUGACAUCUUGGGAAUCCGCUGGAAACAGUGGAGUGCCUUCGGGAACCCAAUGACAGGUGUUGCAUGGCCGUCGUCAGCUCGUGUCGUGAGAUGUUGGGUUAAGUCCCGCAACGAGCGCAACCCUUAUUGUCUGUUGUAUUUUUCAGGCGAGACUGCCCGGGCCAACCGGGAGGAAGGUGGGGAUGACGUCAGGUCAGCAUGGCCCUUACGCCUCGGGCUACACACGUGCUACAAUGGCCGGUACAACGGGCUGCUAAGUCGCAAGACGGAGCUAAUCCCAUCAAAACCGGUCCCAGUUCGGAUUGGAGGCUGCAACUCGCCUUCAUGAAGUUGGAAUUGCUAGUAACCGUGGGUCAGCAUACCGCGGUGAAUACGUUCCCGACUCUUGUACACACCGCCCGU
rnacentral:rRNA from 1 species